rnacentral:tRNA from 1 species
UCCUUUGUGGCUCAGACGGUAAAGCGUCUGUCUACAAUGCAGGAGACCCAGGUUCGAUCCCUGGGUUGGGAA